GAUCAUGGCUCAGGACGAACGCUGGCGGCGUGCUUAACACAUGCAAGUCGAACGAUGAAAGAGGAGCUUGCUCCUCUGGAUUAGUGGCGAACGGGUGAGUAACACGUGAGCAAUCUGCCCCUGACUCCGGAAUAACUACGGGAAACUGUAGCUAAUACCGGAUAUGCGCCGAACAGGCAUCUGUAUCGGUGGGAAAGAAUUUCGGUCAGGGAUGAGCUCGCGGCCUAUCAG
rnacentral:rRNA from 1 species